rnacentral:ncRNA from 1 species
GCAAAUGCAAGGAAGAGGAGUAGUAGCUGAAAGCUGGAAAACAGAGAACUGCCGGGUGGUGCGAGGCAGUCUGAAGCGGACCGUGAACUGACCUUGGAGCAGCCGGCUGAAGACCCGAAGGGUUGUGUAGGUUCGGACGGAAUACCCGCCGUAGAAAGGGGAAAGGCAUGUUAGUGCUGAUGAGUGCAUGGUUUUUAUUACCAUGAAAUAGAGUGGUACCGCGUGAAGUUGAAUUUGCGUCUCUAUA